CCUACGGGCGACAGCAGUAGGGAAUUUUCGGCAAUGGGGGGAACCCUGACCGAGCAACGCCGCGUGAACGAAGAAGUUAUUCGUAAUGUAAAGUUCUUUUAACAGGGAAGAAAGAGAAAUUUGACGGUACCUGAUGAAUAAGCUCCGGCUAACUACGUGCCAGCAGCCGCGGUAAUACGUAGGGAGCGAGCGUUAUCCGGAAUUAUUGGGCGAAAAGGGUGCGUAGAUGGCAUAGUAAGUCUUUUGUAAAAAUGCUGGGCUCAACCCAGUAGGGCAAAAGAUACUGCAAAGCUAGAGUAUGACAGAGGCAAGUGGAACUACAUGUGUAGCGGUAAAAUGCGUAAAUAUAUGGAAGAACACCAGUGGCGAAGGCGGCUUGCUGGGUCGAUACUGACAUUGAGGCACGAAAGCGUGGGGAGCAAACAGGAUUAGAUACCCCUGUAGUC
rnacentral:rRNA from 1 species